GCUCAAACUCAAAGUUCGGUGGAUGCUGGUAGACUUUUUAUCUGGAGAUAAAGGAAGGUGCUGAACUGAGGUGAGAAAAUGGACUCUCUCAUCUGAAUUUCUCCUCCAAAAUUGUUACCUGAUAACGAGUAUCAGUGACAGUUAACCACAGAGGAUGAAAAGGAUUAUCUGGAGGUAUGCACCCGUAGCAGCUCUGCAGUCCAGCAAUUAAACUUUGCAGUAGUAGCCAGUUCCCCGCCCAGGGAUCAAACCCGUGGCCCCUGCAGUGGGAGCACGGAGUCUUAACCGCUGGACCGCCAGGGAAGUCCUCAAGUGCAUCUCUUCUCCUCCAUGGUACCACCAUAGCCUCUCCCAGGUGGCCGUCAGCUCUCUGGAUUCUACAAUAUCUUCCAAACUGGCAUCCUUAUACCAGCUCUCAACUCCUGACCCUGACUCGCUCCUACCGACUGCAGAUCCCAGGAGGGAAGGAAACAGAGAAUUUUUGCCUAACAUAAUGCCUGUCAUAUUGUGGGUUUAAAAAUAUAUCUACCAAGGAAAAUGACUGAAUAAUCAGCAUUUAUGUGAUGAAAACAUAACUGGGCCAAGAAAAUGGUACUACAGUCACUGUCACAUGAAUAUCAGUUUGUUAAUGAAGAGAUCAGUGCGGUGUGCCAUGAACAUAAAAAUAAACAAAAUGGAACAGAGUGAAUGGGUCCCAAAUUUAUUAUUUUUUGUUAUGUAUGACACAG